rnacentral:rRNA from 1 species
AGUGAACGCUGGCGGUAGGCCUAACACAUGCAAGUCGAACGGCAGCACAGUAAGAGCUUGCUCUUACGGGUGGCGAGUGGCGGACGGUUGAGGAAUACAUAGGAAUCUACUUUUUCUUGGGGGAUAACGUAGGGAAACUUACGCUAAUACCGCAUACGACCUACGGGUGAAAGCAGGGGAUCUUCGGACCUUGCUCGAUUGAAUGAGCCGAUGUCGGAUUAGCUAGUUGGCGGGGUAAAGGCCCACCAAGGCGACGAUCCGUAGCUGGUCUGAGAGGAUGAUCAGCCACACUGGAACUGAGACACGGUCCAGACUCCUACGGGAGGCAGCAGUGGGGAAUAUUGGACAAUGGGCGCAAGCCUGAUCCAGCCAUACCGCGUGGGUGAAGAAGGCCUUCGGGUUGUAAAGCCCUUUUGUUGGGAAAGAAAAGCAGCAGGUUAAUACCCCGCUGUUCUGACGGUACCCAAAGAAUAAGCACCGGCUAACUUCGUG